rnacentral:rRNA from 1 species
GACGAACGCUGGCGGCGUGCCUAAUACAUGCAAGUCGAGCGAAUCGACGGGAGCUUGCUCCCUGAGAUUAGCGGCGGACGGGUGAGUAACACGUGGGCAACCUGCCUAUAAGACUGGGAUAACUUCGGGAAACCGGAGCUAAUACCGGAUACGUUCUUUUCUCGCAUGAGAGAAGAUGGAAAGACGGUUUACGCUGUCACUUAUAGAUGGGCCCGCGGCGCAUUAGCUAGUUGGUGAGGUAAUGGCUCACCAAGGCGACGAUGCGCAGCCGACCUGAGAGGGUGAUCGGCCACACGGGGACUGAGACACGGCCCAGACUCCUACGGGAGGCAGCAGUAGGGAAUCUUCCGCAAUGGACGAAAGUCUGACGGAGCAACGCCGCGUGAACGAAGAAGGCCUUCGGGUCGUAAAGUUCUGUUGUUAGGGAAGAACAAGUACCAGAGUAACUGCUGGUACAUUGACGGUACCUCAUGAAUAAGGACCUGCAAAACUCGUGCCAGCCGCCGCGGUAACAC